rnacentral:lncRNA from 1 species
AAUUAGGUUAACUAAAUGUGAAUUGUUUAAACAAUCCCAAGCAGCUCCUCUCCCGGUAGAAGAACAUAUAAUGACUAUUUAUACAGGAACAAAUGGUUAUCUUGAUUCAUUAGAAAUUGGAUAGGUAAGGAAAUUUCUUGUUGAAUUACUUACUUACUUAAGAACUAAUAAACCUCAGUUCCAAGAAAUCAUAUCUUCUACUAAGACAUUUAUCGAGGAAGCAGAAGUCCUUUUAAAAGAAGCUAUUCGCGAACAAAUGGACCGGUUCCUACUUCAGGAACAAGCAUAACAUAAAAAAAUUGCUCACUUUUUAUUAAAAAAAAAAAGUAAUGAAGUGUCUCGAAUUCAAAUUAUGUAAAAAGUCUUUCUUGCUAUCGAAAUAAAAAAUAUAUGGAAAUAAA